rnacentral:rRNA from 1 species
ACGAACGCUGGCGGCGUGCCUAAUACAUGCAAGUAGAACGCUGAAGGAAGGAGCUUGCUCUUUCUGGAUGAGUUGCGAACGGGUGAGUAACGCGUAGGUAACCUGCCUGGUAGCGGGGGAUAACUAUUGGAAACGAUAGCUAAUACCGCAUAAAAUUGAUUAUUGCAUGAUAGUCAAUUAAAAGGUGCAACUGCACCACUACCAGAUGGACCUGCGUUGUAUUAGCUAGUUGGUGGGGUAACGGCUCACCAAGGCGACGAUACAUAGCCGACCUGAGAGGGUGAUCGGCCACACUGGGACUGAGACACGGCCCAGACUCCUACGGGAGGCAGCAGUAGGGAAUCUUCGGCAAUGGACGGAAGUCUGACCGAGCAACGCCGCGUGAGUGAAGAAGGUUUUCGGAUCGUAAAGCUCUGUUGUAAGAGAAGAACGAGUGUGAGAGUGGAAAGUUCACACUGUGACGGUAUCUGACCAGAAAGGGACGGCUAACUACGUG